GUCAAGCCGGAUGAUUUCCUUUUUGACAGAUUCAUACUUGUCAUCCAGUGCGGUGACGAAUUGAUAAAGCCGUAACCGUUCCUUUGUCAUUGGUCGUAUACUUGAACGGGGUCUGCGCCGCUGCCGUAGGUGAUGGCCAACCCGUCCCAAAGAUCCUUGGCCGUUGCAUAUUGUGAAACCUCAUUCACAAGAUCCGCCGCCAUGUUGUUGAUAAUCCAAGUAAAGACGCAGUGGUCUCGUUGCUGCCAUGGUUGAUAUGUUGGGUCGUUUCGGGAUGGAGGGACAGAAACUCCAUUGAUGUGAGAUGUCAGUCCCCUCCCCCCAAUUGCCCGGUCCAUGAGAUCGGCCCAAAGUGGGUAAUUAUCCCCAUCCAGUUUCGCUCUGACUGUGAUAUCACCCAACGAUUCGGGGUGAUGAGUCUUUUCUGGAGUUUUGUUGGGGAUCGAACUCAUGCUCAGCCGCAGGAACUCCGCAAAUUGUGCGGCGAGUUCCGCAGGGAAGGGUGAAGGGUUUGGGUGGGAAUCGGUGUUUUUGUUGUUGGUUGUUUCUGACAUGUUUUCUGUUUCAGAAUCGGACAUAUUGCUUGUGUUUGCUGUAGGAUUGAAAAGAAGGUUGGGAGAGGUAUAUUACGGGCGGUGAUGAAAUUUUUCUGAGCCCGAACCUGCUCGUGAUACCAUAUUGAAAGAAGAUGUAGGAGACAAUGUAUUGUGUUGUGUAUUCAUUAGAAUGAUCCAUCCCCCUUAAUAUAGGAGUUGUUACACUAUAAUUACGGCAUACAAUCAUUCUAAUUCUUAGGCAAAUAUGCUCCCUAUCAAUUACCUAUCAAUUACAUAUUUCCUCCUUUAA